rnacentral:rRNA from 1 species
GACGUAGGGCGCGAGCGUUGUCCGGAUUUAUUGGGCGUAAAGAGCUCGUAGGCGGCUUGUUACGUCGGCUGUGAAAUCCCGCGGCUCAACUGCGGGUCUGCAGCCGAUACGGGCAGGCUAGAGUUCGGUAGGGGAGACUGGAAUUCCUGGUGUAGCGGUGAAAUGCGCAGAUAUCAGGAGGAACACCGGUGGCGAAGGCGGGUCUCUGGGCCGAUACUGACGCUGAGACGCGAAAGCGUGGGGAGCGAACAGG